GACGUAGGGUGCGAGCGUUGUCCGGAUUUAUUGGGCGUAAAGAGCUCGUAGGCGGUUCGUUGCGUCAGCUGUGAAAACCCGCAGCUUAACUGUGGGCUUGCAGCUGAUACGGGCGGACUAGAGUUCGGUAGGGGAGACUGGAAUUCCUGGUGUAGCGGUGAAAUGCGCAGAUAUCAGGAGGAACACCGGUGGCGAAGGCGGGGCUCUGGGCCGAUACUGACGCUGAGGAGCGAAAGCGUGGGGAGCGAACAGG
rnacentral:rRNA from 1 species